UGGUCUAUUUUGUGUGAAAUCUCUUAUACAUGGUUUUGUAAAGAAGGUUCUAACAAUACUUUUCUAAUGAUGCUUGUUUGCAAUAAAGUGAUUGUACAGCAAGAUAUUAUUGCAAACAAGAUAUUAUUGCAAUCACAUUAUCGCAAACAAGCGUCAUUGAUAAUUAGUUAGGUGCAUUCAUGCAUCCUUACAACAACCCUUUAGACAUGGGUAGAUUACAUUUUGAGAUAGCAGGGUGAGGUCUGUAGUGGGUCUGUAAGCCAGUUAGCAUGGUGAAGGUAACUGCCAGCAUCCCAGCUCCAAGUCUGUGAGUAAGGGGUGUAUGGGACAAGAAUCUGCCUGAGGAAGCUGCGGAUGCCUCAUUGCAGUCAGAAUGCUACCGUUCCACCAUGGGGUCGAUGAAGCACAUCCGGUUCAGUGAGCUGUUCUCUGUGCAAAUCCAGGCUAGCCAAUCAGCAGAACUGCCAGGCCUUGGGUGUGUAAAGUUGGGGCAGAAGUGGGGGAAUCAGAGGGAGGAGACGGUCUUUCAGGCUGGACUUUAAGAUGUCUGAGACGGCCCUUGCUGUUUUGGUCUUAACAACUGCCACUCUUCAUUUGGGCCUCUGCAGAUGGCUGGCAGCCGCCCUGCGUCUGUCGUACCUUCAAGACUUCCUUCUGUAUAUAGAUACGUGAACCUGCAGGACCUGCCCAAGGCAGGGGCUCAGGUAGGAAUUUCUUCCCAUCUGAGCACACCAUGGAUGUGUCCCAAUGUAGUGGAGGGACAAAGACUUUCAGCCAGUGAUUUUUUAUGGGAGUCGCAAUGGUUAGUCUAAAAGUCUAACCUUUAGAAAACAGUGGAAAAACAUUUUGAAAUAUAUACAAAUUUCAAAGACAUAUAUGCCCAAAUAUACAUAUGCUGAAGUCCUAUCACCUAGUACCUCCCAGAAUGUGGCUGUAUUUGGAGAAAGGUCCUUUAGAGAAGUAAUUAAGGUAAAAUGAGGUCAUGGGGGGAGGGGGCUUUAAUCUGAUCUAACUGGUGUCCUAAUAGGAAGAGGUGAUUAGGACACAGAUACACAGAGGGGCGACCACGUGAAGACUCAGCAAUCUGCCAUCUACGAGCCAUGAAGGGAGACCUCAGAAGGAACCAGUUCUGCUGACAUCUUGAUUUCGGACUGCAUCGAUCUCAGCCCACUGGAGAAUCUAAAGGUUAAAUUCUCCAGAACUGUGAGAAAAUUUCUGUUGCUGGCGCCACCUGUCUGCGGCAGCCCUAGCGGAAUGAUACUACUAAAAGUGGCUGUCUUAGAAGGGCCUGUAACUCCUUUUAUAUUAGGAAGUGGCUCCCUCUGCUGGUUUCUUUGUGUUAAAAGCCAAAUAAUGCCCUGAAAACAGUUUUUCAUGUUUGGUUGGUACAGAGCAAAGUACUUGGAUUCUUCUUUUACAGAAUCUAUAUAGAAUAAAGAAUAGAGAAUCUUCGUAGAGUUCUUUGCAGAAUCCUUCACCUGUAGUCGGGGUUGAUAGUGACACUAUUUAGCAACUUUGUGGCUCUGUACUGUGUGGACCAUUAACCCUGUGGAUGCUGGACUUAUGAGUUGAGUCUUAGCUUUUGAGACACCAUGAAACUGACAAUACCGGUUCUGAUUAAGUGCAAAAACUGGAUUCCGACUGCCAAGCAUUUCUUUCUCAACUUCUGAUUAGCGGCAGGCUUUCCUGCUUAUUAGUUAUGAUUUGGAUUUAUAAAAUUUGUAUCCUGUGUUAGAAGCCUCAGAUGAUAAUAAUAAAGCAAAAUGCUCAUAAAAGCGAAGAAUAAGAAAACCUACUGCCAAAGUGCAAAGGAAAUUACCCAAGCAGGCAAGCAAGCAAUCAGCCAAUCCGCCAACCAGCCAGCUAGCCAACCAACCAGCCAACCAGCCAGCCAACUAACCAACCAGCCAGCCGGCCAACUAACCAACCAGCCAACCAGCCAGCCAGCCAACUAACCAACCAGCCAGCCAGCCAACUAACCAACCAGCCAGCCAGCCAGCUAACCGACCAGCCAGCCAGCCAAUUAACCAACCAGCCAGCCAGCCAACUAACCAACCAGCCAGCCAGCCAAUUAACCAACCAGCCAGCCAGCCAAUUAACCAACCAGCCAGCCAGCCAGCCAGCUAACCGACCAGCCAGCCAGCCACACAACCAAUCAACCAAGCAACCAAUCAACCAGCCAAGCAAGCAAACAAGCAACCAGCCAACCAAUCAGUAAAUAAAAAACCAAUAACAGUUGCAUUUUGACUACUCUCUGGGAUUUAUCAUAACGAACUUGAAAUAAUGUAACAUAAAAGUAAAUUCUUUAAACAUAAAAUUUAAGUAUUAAUAUUGAUAGUGCUAUUAAUUUUUUGUUUAUAUAGUUUUCACAUUAAAAGACCUUGGAAGUGAAAUUAUAUAUAAUUUCUGCAUGAAGUAUAGAAGUCACGUUACGUAUUUAUAGCAAUUUAAAAAUAUAGAAUUGUUUUCCUGUUACCAAGGUCGUUCCUAUACAUUGUAGGAAAUUUAGGACAUAGAGAUUAGUGAGAAGAAGAAAAUAAAAAUCAUAGGUAACCUGAACAGCCAGAGAGAAUCUCUGUGAAUUUUUGUGUACACCUUAACACUCCUUUUUAUCUGUGUAUAUUUAUUUUUUUUUAAAUGGUAUUGUUCUGAUUCUUUCAAAACUGACAUUUGAUUUGUGUGUAAUAUGAGGAAGGGAUGAAACUGUAAUGGAGAGGAAGAUGAGAUUCUGCAAUGACUCUGAUAAUAAUACGAAACAAAGGACUGCUGGUCUCAUGGAAAGCCAGUGACAUUGUUCUCCGCUGGUUUUAUUUAUGCCAGACUAAUAGCCCAUGACUCCCUGAAAUUUUCAUCUUCAGAGUCAUAUAUGUAUUUCAUGCGACUUAAAGGCACAUUUCCACAUGAUGAGCUUUUCUUUUUUUAGCCGUGAUUAGUUUCAGAAACGUUUGAAAUUUCCAUAUUUGACAUAUUUGAACUUUACAGUUUAAUCACGUGGAUUUAGCAGUUAAGACUCUAGUACAUUUUCCUCUCCGAUUUUAGCAGACGAAAGCACAUGUCAGGAAAUGUCUAGCUUCAAACCUUCUGUGUCAAAGGCAUGUACGAUGAAGCAGAAACCAGACAACUGCAAUAAUUUUACUCCCAAGCCAGAGGCCACGGUGAGAACCCACUAGGUUAAAAACCAGAUACAACGAAUUGUGCAGCAAAAAAAGCUCAAAAAGAAACAAACCUCAUUUGUGCAAUGUCUGAAAAGAAACAGAAAACAGCGAGAACAUGAGACUCCAGAUAACAAAUGUACUUAUGCUUCAUUAUCUGAAAGAUUCGCAGUGGGGCACAGACAGGAGCCAGCAUUAAAAUAAUAAGAACAAAAAUAGCUGUGCGUUUCAGCAGGGUGUGUUACCGUAUUGUACUCAACACGAGGAUAUUAAUUUCACAGUUUUCGUAGAUAAGUUUAAACAUAGGAACCUGUCACAGAUAGGCAGUAAUCUCAGUGAGGAUACAUCAGCUGGGAUUUCACAGUCUGCAAUUUUUAAAUUCAGCUGGGUCCCCAAGGGCCAAUCAAUAUUGGUGGCAAUUAUUCUUAGUAUACGGUCCAAAUGAAAUGGGUGUUUUUUUUUUCCUUUUUUUAUCAAGGUGGGAGAUUGUGAUAUAGAGGUAAGCAAAUUCCCUUGUGGUUGGCAAUUGGGCUGCCUAACAGCUGCAGCUAGUCUGCUGUAGGACUCUAUCCCACGUUUCUCGGGAAUAGCCCAAUAAUGACCCCAUUAUUUUAACCCUUACACAUGAGCAAUGUUUGAUAGCUAGCUGGGAAAAACCUAGCCUGUGUUAAACAAAGAGAGUAUGAAAAAUAUAAUAAACAAACCCAGAGAGCCUCCCAAGGCAGCUGCUUGGGAGCAGCACUUUCUACACAGGUUUUAUUUACAUUCUUUGGUUUCUAAGCCACAAACCCUUGAGGACCAAUGCAUGGGACACAGGUAUGUUCUCAUGAGGCAGAGUCAGUUUAUAUUCUAGAGGGAGAGGCGGUGAAAACCUUUUAAAAAAAAAAAUUCUGAAAGCCAGAUACUAAAUUAUGCAAAUCCCUUGAUUUUAUUCAUUGAAAAGCUGGGUUUUCUUUUUCUAAAUUUUUGUCUAUUUGGGGGGUGGUUGGGGAUUGGGAGGUAUAUUGAAGGUUGAGAAUGAGGAAUAGAAAAUCAGAGAACUGAAAUUCAAAAUGAUGUUCAAGUUCCUUUUCCUGGUGGGGCGCAAGUUGAAGUUAGAUUGGGCUAACCUUGGGGCAUUUGGCUGGUAACACUGGCAAACCCAGGUCAUCCGUGGAGAGAAGGGAAUGAAAAACGCAUUCUGUUACAACACAUUAGGGUUGAGAUGUGUGUUUCAGGUUCUUCAGCUUUGGUGUGGAGCUUCUUUUGUCUUCAGCCUGACCCUUAAUUGGGCUUUUCAUCCAAUUUUACUUUUAUCUGAUUAAUCACUUAAAAUGCCAGUGUGCUAGAAAUCUAAAAUGUUCAUGUUGUUUUAUGCUCACUAAUAACAAAACAAAUCAAAACGAUGUGCUCUGUGUCUGCUAGUGUUUCCAAACCACCAGCUCUCCUAAGUAAAUGCUACGAGAAAUGAAAAAAUUCUGGAAAAGAGCCAAAAGUGUGAGCAGAAACGCCUCAUUAUAAAAAUAGCCUAUUGGCGGGGUGCGGCGGCCCAUGCCUGUAAAUCCUAACACUUUAGAAAGCCGCGGUGAACGGAUUGCUUGAGCCCAGGUGUUUGAGACCAGCCUGGGCAACAGGGUGAAACCCCGUCUCUAGAAAAAAAUACAAAAUUUAGCCGGGUGUGGUGGUGCACACCUGCAGUCCCAGCUACUUUGGGGGCUGAGGUGGGAGGAUCAUCUGAGCCUGGGGAGGUGGAGGCUGCAGUGAGCCAUGAUCAUGCCACUGCACUUUAGCCUGGAAGACAGAGAAAGACCCUGUCUCAAAAAAAAAAAAAGAAAAAUAGCUUAUAGUUUUAUACACAGGAUAGCCCGUUAGCUACCUUGGAAUUAUGGGCCUUUCCUCAUGUAAUUUGGUGUCUCUUACUUUGAUGAAAAGUAGAAUGAAUCAAAGGGUACUUUUAGGAGAGUUUUGAAGUCAUAAAAAUCGAUUUGCUCUUUGAAAGUUCAGGUACAUGUAGCUCAUUACCUAUAAAUUGCAGGGAGCUCCAGGAGAUAGCUGGGGAAGAGUGUAUGAACAGAACGGACUGCUAUUGAAUUUAAGAGGUAUUAGGUUGGUGCAAAAGUAACUGCAGUUUUUGCCAUUAGAUUAAAAAAAAAAAAAAGACAAAAACCGCAAUUACUUUUGCACUAACCUCAUGUUUAAUUAUUUCCUGCCUAAAAAUGGGGACAUGAAUGAAAUAUUCAUUCACUUUCAAUUCUGUACCGCCUUUUUGUUAACCACAGUUCUUUCCAUUGCUUUGUGUGGUUCAAAGUUGCCUGGAAUCAGUGAUUAGAAGUCAAUAUUCUAAAGCUCAAAAAUACA